rnacentral:sRNA from 1 species
GAUUUUUUGUUUAAGUUCUUGGUUAUUGGAAAUGCAGGAACUGGCAAAUCUUGCUUACUUCAUCAGUUUAUUGAAAAAAAAUUCAAAGAUGACUCAAAUCAUACAAUAGGAGUGGAAUUUGGUUCAAAGAUAAUAAAUGUUGGUGGUAAAUAUGUAAAGUUACAAAUAUGGGAUACAGCAGGACAAGAACGAUUCAGAAACUUCAUUUUUGGAAACUUUGAUUGACAAGACAGCUAAAAUUCAGAUUAGCUCUCUGCAGCAUGGAUUACUAAAGAAUACAGGAGGAUCUCUGGGCAACUGCAUUAUAACUCGGAGGCUGACCCAUUCUCAGGAGGAUGUGGCACUGUGUAUUGUACAGUAUGUUUCUAGAUUCAAAUCAAAGCACAAGCUUGUUUUUCUGUGUUCCUUUAAAGAAGAACUUUUUAAAA